GCGGCGUCACCUUUGACCCGUGAAGUUGACCCGUGCGAGAGUGACGAAGCCGUUUCACUCCACCUUUUUGCGUGUCGCUGUAGAACGUAACGGAUGCAAGGUGAAUCGGCUCCGGAACAAGUAGCAUCGCAAAUCUCUUAAUUGAUCGCGGCAAGCAGCGGCAAGUCUGACAUGGAUCGGUGAGGAGACAAAUGUCGCGCCAUAUCUACUCGAACGCAACGAACGCAGAAUGAACCGAUUCCGAAACGAAUGGCAUCGCAAUUCAUUUAAUUGAUCGUGACAAUCCUGACAUGGAACGGUUCCAAAAGACAUCGCGAUAUUUAUUUGAAAGCUGCGUCAUCGAGUUUAUCCGUCACUUGAUGACGGAUACGUCUCCGAACUGUCUGAUGACUGACGUUGGGAAAUUUGCUAGUCGGGGCAAAGUAAAUAUCUGGAAGGAAUCUUUCGUGGUAUCAACAAACUAUUAUCGUCACCGCAAAACCGUUGUGACGUAAACGACUCGUGCAGGACUACUAUUCAAUUGGAUCAUCAGCGUUUAUAACAUGCGUGACACCCUUUUGGAGUCACAAUUCUCUUAUCUUGAACGAAUCUACCUCUUAUAUUCUUAAUUAUUAUCAAAAUUAUUGUAAAUUAAUAAAUUUAUAAUUUUCCUUUA